UACGUAGGGUGCGAGCGUUGUCCGGAAUUAUUGGGCGUAAAGAGCUCGUAGGCGGUGUGUCGCGUCGGCCGUGAAAACCUGCAGCUUAACUGUGGGCUUGCGGUCGAUACGGGCAUCACUGGAGUUCGGCAGGGGAGACUGGAAUUCCUGGUGUAGCGGUGAAAUGCGCAGAUAUCAGGAGGAACACCGAUGGCGAAGGCAGGUCUCUGGGCAUUAACUGACG
rnacentral:rRNA from 1 species